rnacentral:rRNA from 1 species
CGGUGUUCAACUGGCGUGUCCGCGGGACGUCCUGCCGGUGGGCUUAGCCCGCAAGGGCGGCCCAACUUCAAAUCCCAUCGCGGUGCUCUUCACUGAGUGUCGAGAUGGGCCGGCACGUUUACUUUGAACAAAUUAGAGUGCUUAAAGCAGGCUAAAACUUCGCCUGAAUACUGUGUGCAUGGAAUAAUGGAAUAGGACCUCGGUUCUAUUUUGUUGGUUUUCGGAACCCCGAGGUAAUGAUUAAUAGGAACGGAUGGGGGCAUUCGUAUUGCGACGUUAGAGGUGAAAUUCUUGGAUCGUCGCAAGACGGACAGAAGCGAAAGCAUUUGCCAAAAACGCUUUCAUUGAUCAAGAACGAAAGUUAGAGGUUCGAAGGCGAUCAGAUACCGCCCUAGUUCUAACCAUAAACGAUGCCAGCUAGCGAUCCGUCGACGUUCCUCCGAUGACUCGACGGGCAGCUUCCGGGAAACCAAAGCUUUUGGGUUCCGGGGGAAGUAUGGUUGCAAAGCUGAAACUUAAAGGAAUUGACGGAAGGGCACCACCAGGAGUGGAGCCUGCGGCUUAAUUUGACUCAACACGGGAAACCUCACCAGGCCCGGACACCGGAAGGAUUGACAGAUUGAGAGCUCUUUCUUGAUUCGGUGGGUGGUGGUGCAUGGCCGUUCUUAGUUGGUGGAGCGAUUUGUCUGGUUAAUUCCGAUAACGAACGAGACUCUAGCCUGCUAACUAGGCGUAUUUUCGACAUCUCAAAGGUCCGUCGUCCCGGCCCUCGGGUCGUGGGCGUGCGCGAUUUUUACUGUCGGCGUACUAUCAAUUCUUCUUAGAGGGACAGGUGGCUUCUAGCCGCACGAGGUUGAGCAAUAACAGGUCUGUGAUG